rnacentral:rRNA from 1 species
AUUGAACGCUGGCGGCAGGCCUAACACAUGCAAGUCGAGCGGAUGAAGGGAGCUUGCUCCUGGAUUCAGCGGCGGACGGGUGAGUAAUGCCUAGGAAUCUGCCUGGUAGUGGGGGAUAACGUCCGGAAACGGGCGCUAAUACCGCAUACGUCCUGAGGGAGAAAGUGGGGGAUCUUCGGACCUCACGCUAUCAGAUGAGCCUAGGUCGGAUUAGCUAGUUGGUGGGGUAAAGGCCUACCAAGGCGACGAUCCGUAACUGGUCUGAGAGGAUGAUCAGUCACACUGGAACUGAGACACGGUCCCGACUCCUACGGGAGGCAGCAGUGGGGAAUAUUGGACAAUGGGCGAAAGCCUGAUCCAGCCAUGCCGCGUGUGUGAAGAAGGUCUUCGGAUUGUAAAGCACUUUAAGUUGGGAGGAAGGGCAGUAAGUUAAUACCUUGCUGUUUUGACGUUACCAACAGAAUAAGCACCGGCUAACUUCGU